UGGUGGAGUGAUUUGUCUGGUUAAUUCCGUUAACGAACGAGACCUCGACCUGCUAAAUAGUUCGCUUCAAGCUUCGGCUUGAAGACGUUUGACUUCUUAGAGGGACUAUCGGUGUGUAGCCGAUGGAAGUUCGAGGCAAUAACA
rnacentral:rRNA from 1 species